GGCAGGUGAUGUCCUUUCUCACGAUGGUCUGCAGAGGCCCCCCAUGGGGUCAGUGUUGAUUCUGCCUUCAAGGCUCAGCUGAUGCCAGAGG